UACAGAGGGGGCAAGCGUUGUUCGGAAUUACUGGGCGUAAAGCGUGCGCAGGCGGCUAUGCAAGACAGAUGUGAAAUCCCCGGGCUCAACCUGGGAACUGCAUUUGUGACUGCAUAGCUAGAGUACGGUAGAGGGGGAUGGAAUUCCGCGUGUAGCAGUGAAAUGCGUAGAGAUCCGGAGGAACACCAAUGGCGAAGGCAGUGUCCUGGCCGACGGCUGACGCUCAGGCGGCGAAAGCGUGGGAGCAAACAGG
rnacentral:rRNA from 1 species